rnacentral:lncRNA from 1 species
GUUCCAGACUGUUCUUGGAAAGGCAGGAAGCUGGGAAUACCAAGCUUUAGGCUACCAGAGUGUGGCCUUCGGUAACUUUGCCCUCCACCUGGCUUAGAGACUGCUCCAGCUCUGCCCACUGCUGGGAAGGGUUUGGGUUUGUUUCUUCUACUUGGAAAGGAUUUCCCUCCCACCUUUGUGGCAUGAAGUGGGAACUUAAGGGUUCUUUGGGAAGUCAGUUGUGUUGGAUGGUGUUUUGCUAAAGCAAACACGUGAAGGAACGUUUUGCUGAAGGAGACACAGGAGAAAGGAUGUGCUGCUAAAGCAAACCCGUAAAAGGACAGGUGAUGAAGGAUUCUUUGAUAAUGACACACAUGUAUUGGUCUGCCUUACAUUGUGUUGUGACUCUUUAGAGAGAAAUGAACCAAAAAACUUCUGAUGGUGUGCUGAGGCUUCUUGCUGCUUCCGUGGACUCGGGCCGAUUGGCAGAGUGACAUCAGUUGAAACAGACUCACAUGCUGAUACAAAACACAUGGUGAGGCAAGGACAUGCGAUGUUUGGAGGAACUAUAGGUAGGACUCAACGGAUUGU